rnacentral:lncRNA from 1 species
AACGCAGGAGACAAACAUGUGUAAUUAGAUAGGUGAGGUAGGAGAUGAAAAUGAGAUCGAAUUUACGACUUCACAGAACAAAAGGAGUUUAGAAUUAGCUGUGAUGUUAUAUUACCCCACACCGUAUUAUAUAUACAGAGAGAGUCCGGCUAUUAUACUAUUGAUAGUACCAAGCACUUGGUGCUAUCGAAUUUUCUACCAUUAGAUCUAUUCCUUGAAUCAUUUUCAUCUGUUAGAUCAUAUUAUUCAACCAACCUCCACUCAACCCUAGGGGAUCAACUAUCGACCUAAUCACACAUCCUUUCAUUGAAGGACUGAAAAUCUAAUAGCAUCAAACACUCGAUACUAUCGAUCAGACAGAUAAAAGGCAUAUAAAAUUGAUAGAUAAGAUAGAAAAUGGAGAUGCGGUUGGAGAUCGAUGAGGAUCGAGCUCACGACUUUCAGAAUAGAAGGAUUUAGAAUUAGUAGCAAAAAAAAA